CUUCAUCCCCCGAAUAUGCACAGGGUGGCAUUCAAUGAGCAAGCUCACUUGACCGACGUAGUCGCCUCUAAGAAUGCUUCCAAAUCCAUGUUGACAGAGUAUUUCAAAGCUAACCAAAACCACUCGUGGGCUAGGAAUAUAUUGUACAAGGAUUUUCCUGGAAGGUUCACAUGGCAGAAGGGUAAAAAGUAUUGGAAAGAGCGGGUGGAGCGUUAUCAGAUAGGUCGAAUUGUGUCUGCCAAUCCUGCCGAGGGGGAGCGAUACUAUCUGCGUGUGCUGCUAAACCAUGUUGCUGGCAAGACAUCCUAUGAGGACCUACUCACCGUGGACAGUAGGCUAUGCGGGAGCUUUAGAGAGGCUGCCGAAAGGUUGGGACUCAUCGAGGCAGAUAACACGCUCGACGACUGUCUUACCGAG
rnacentral:rRNA from 1 species